rnacentral:rRNA from 1 species
CUGCCCUAAAGUGGGGGAUAACAUCUGGAAACAGGUGCUAAUACCGCAUAACAACAUUUACCACAUGGUUUAUGUUUGAAAGAUGGUUCUGCUAUCGCUUUAGGAUGGACCCGCGGCGUAUUAGCUAGUUGGUGAGGUAACGGCUCACCAAGGCAAUGAUACGUAGCCGACCUGAGAGGGUAAUCGGCCACAUUGGGACUGAGACACGGCCCAAACUCCUACGGGAGGCAGCAGUAGGGAAUCUUCCACAAUGGACGAAAGUCUGAUGGAGCAACGCCGCGUGAGUGAAGAAGGUUUUCGGAUCGUAAAACUCUGUUGUUGAAGAAGAACAUGCGUGAGAGUAACUGUUCAUGUAUUGACGGUAUUCAACCAGAAAGCCACGGCUAACUACGUG